GACGAACGCUGGCGGCGUGCUUAACACAUGCAAGUCGAACGGAAAGGCCCUGCUUUUGUGGGGUGCUCGAGUGGCGAACGGGUGAGUAACACGUGAGUAACCUGCCCUUGACUUUGGGAUAACUUCAGGAAACUGGGGCUAAUACCGGAUAGGAGCUCCUGCUGCAUGGUGGGGGUUGGAAAGUUUCGGCGGUUGGGGAUGGACUCGCGGCUUAUCAGCUUGUUGGUGGGGUAGUGGCUUACCAAGGCUUUGACGGGUAGCCGGCCUGAGAGGGUGACCGGCCCCAUUGGGACUGAGAUACGACCCAGACUCCUACGGGAGGCAGCAGUGGGGAAUAUUGCACAAUGGGCGGAAGCCUGAUGCAGCAACGCCGCGUGCGGGAUGAAGGCCUUCGGGUUGUAAACCGCUUUCGCCUGUGACGAAGCGUGAGUGACGGUAAUGGGUAAAGAAGCACCGGCUAACUACGUG
rnacentral:rRNA from 1 species